GUUCAGUUCAGUUCAGCGAUGGAGCAGUUCAGUUUUAUUCCUUAAAGGCCCCCAUUUCAGGGGUGAUCUGUGAUAUUG
rnacentral:lncRNA from 1 species